rnacentral:rRNA from 1 species
UGGGGAAUAUUGGACAAUGGGGGCAACCCUGAUCCAGCAAUGCCGCGUGUGUGAAGAAGGCCUUCGGGUUGUAAAGCACUUUCGGUGGGGACAAACAAGGCGGAGCUAACAUCUCCGUCCCUGAUGGUACCCAAAGAAGAAGCACCGGCUAACUCUGUGCCAGCAGCCGCGGUAAUACAGAGGGUGCAAGCGUUAAUCGGAAUUACUGGGCGUAAAGCGUGCGUAGGUGGUUUGUUAAGUCAGGUGUGAAAUCCCGGGGCUCAACCUCGAAAUGGCGCUUGAUACUGGCAGACUCGAGUGUGGUAGAGGAUAGUGGAAUUCCCGGUGUAGCGGUGAAAUGCGUAGAUAUCGGGAGGAACAUCAGUGGCGAAGGCGGCUAUCUGGACCAACACUGACACUGAGGUACGAAAGCGUGGGUAGCAAACAGGAUUAGAUACCCUGGUAGUCCACGCCCUAAACGAUGGCGACUAGUUGUUGGAGGAGUUAAAUCCUUUAGUAACGAAGCUAACGCGCGAAGUCGUCCGCCUGGGGAGUACGGUCGCAAGAUUA